UACCCGCGUGGGAGUCCAACUAGUUAUAUAAAAGAACGCAAGUAAACAUGUGAAUUGAAUCUAACACUAUGUUAUUGAUCUAAUGUUGAGUCUUUCAACAAUACUCCUAUGUAGCAGCUUACAUCCCUGAAAUUGUCCACUAACUAAUAGACAAUUGCAAUCCCACCUCUGUUGCCCACAUCUCUAUCUCUAUUCAAAUAGGCAGAUGAUGUGUUUGCUUAUGGGUCAAUCCCUCCCAACAAACACAAUACAAACUUUCUUGUCACAAAUCUUUUUCCUACUCUAAGCACAAAUCUUUUGGGUCAAUCCCUCUUUCAACAAUUGUUACAGAGUUUCAAUUGAGAGAAAAGCAUUUUGCUUUCUCUUUCUCCCUUCUGUUGAGACGCAACAAUCACAUUCUUUAGUAAUGUUUUGGAGAGAGUGAUUCUCAAUUCAUUGACCCAAUUGAUCGAAGCAUGCCAGGUAUCGAGGAAACAUACAAGGCCGAUGAAGAGCCAGAGACAUUUGAAGACUUAUGUUUGCUUUAGAGAAAAUUAGAAGCCAUUUUGCUUGUGAAUCUGUUCGUACUUUUUUUGGAAUGUAAUGGGAAUUCAUGACCACUGGAGCAUAACCAUACGAGUAUCCUUUGACAAAGUAAGAGAAGGAAAAGAAAAACAAGAGAAAAUAAUCCUUCCAAUUAACCAAUCCACUGAGUAUUUUUUUUAUUUUUUUUUUUAAGGACAAGGAUUGAUUUGUUUCCUGGUUCACAAUUUCGUUAAAUGUGAGAUUGUGGUUAUGAUUAUUCAGUAGAAAAGAAGGACUAUUGUGUAUUUUGUGUUGAAAA